GCCUGUCCGCUCUCCACUCCCCUUGGUGUUUUUUCAAGGAGAGCUGUCACUGUUUCUAUUUAAAGGACACUGAGUAGUCCAGAAUGGGAUACAGAAUAGGGGAGACAUGACAGCACAACCCAGAUGUCUUUAUUGGAAAACACCAGGAAGCCACACAUGCUGACCAGAAUCAUCACAACCCUGUCACACUCCUGACAAGGAGGGAGGACGAGGAAAGAGAAGGCUAUAAGUGUCUAAAUCAAGCCUCCAGGGGCAAAUUGAGCCACCCAGAACUCAAUCCUGCAUCCAUCCAGUCCUCCCACUCCCUGAGGCCCAUGAAGAUAC